ACUGAUUAUAUAUAACAUAUUUUUUUAUAUUCAUAAAGUCUAGUAGUAGAUCUACUUAUUUUAUAUCAUUUCUAAAGCUUGUACAAUAACCAUUCCUAUUAGCUCUGGAAUCCAUUUGUGCUGAUUUGGUUGUAGAAUGUAGAGCAUGUACAUAUAUGUACACAUUAGCACCGUCCCAUCCUUCCUUUCUUUAUUUGUUAUUGCCAGUGGUUUGUGUACAUAUGUUGUAUCAAUAUCAUUCAAAAAGGAACUCGUUAUUUAUUUUAAUAACAAUCAGUAUAUUAAUUUAUACAAGAGCUUUGCCUUUGGUAUUUUUGAAAUGCGUGCCAAGUGAAACAUUUGUAUGCAAGAUGGAAGGGUUGGUAUCAGUAUAGUCAGUUUCAGUUGAGUUUGACCAGAUGUUUUCAUCAUCAAAACGUCAAGUGUAACCCCACCCACACGUAGAUACAAUGGCUGAAAACUCAAGCAUGCUCUUGUAAUGUGUUUUUUCUAUUUUGGUUACUGCUAACCCUGCAAUUGACAUGAAGAACCUUUGUGCUUCCUAUUACCUCAAGAAAGAAUCAAGAUAUCCAAGAUUGCAAAGGAGUUUCUGAACGGUAAAAGUAAUAAUAAAUAAAGAAGGCUUAGAGAGGCACAGCAGACUAAGGGAGACUUCUUCCUGGAGUACAAAGUCUUUUACUUCAGUCAUAUCUUGGCCUGGAAUGUUUCUUUUGUAUAAUUUAAUAAUAUUUUAGGAUAAUAAAAACAUGAUUAGUGACAAAUUUAAUGAGAUGUAAAAGAUAUUCACGAUGCUAGACAUCUUGAAACAUCAUGGCAGCUCCCUUUCAUGUUGACCGGAAGAACCUUUUACCUUCCAGAGACCUUAAAAUUGGUAUAGAUUUUUGGAAGAACCCGUUUUACAACUAUACCAAGUUUCAAGAUGCUAGCAUAAAUUAUAGAGAAUUUAUAAGUGUGGGUCAGUGGUCAAACUCAACCGAAAA